AAAAGAGGCGCAUUGCUGUUAACAAUGUAAGUGAAUUAAAGUAAUUCUAUCUAUUU
rnacentral:tRNA from 1 species